rnacentral:tRNA from 1 species
ACCGCAAUAGCUCAGCUGGUAGAGCAUCUGCCCGGUGUGCGGAGGAUCGCUGGUUCAACUCCGGCUCGCGGCG